AUACCAACGGUGUACAUAUAGAUAAUUGUCUUGUUUUGAAUUGUGCAAUUCAUUAACAUUUAAAGUAGAAUAACUCGGAAAUUAUUCGUUAAAUGAGUACUGAGAAUGCUUAAAAAAUCACUGUAUAAUAUUAUAAACAUUUAUGAAAAAUAACUUAAUGUAGGAGAUACGUCCCUCCUCACCUCACUCCCGUUUACAUCCCUGAACUAUAGUGUAUUUAUAACGUAUAUUUGAUCAAAAUGAAACGAAAUAACUCAACUGAUUUAAGUACGUUAAAUUUGUUUUCAAAAAAAAAAAAGUGCUUCUUACAAGUACGGAUAUAGAGAAUAUAAAAGUUGAUGGUGUAGGUGAUGUAGAAAAAUGUAAAUUGCCUGAGCAGUCUGGUAAAAAUUGAUCCCGAA